rnacentral:rRNA from 2 species
GAGCGGCGACGGGUGAGUAACACGUGAGCAACCUGCCCCUGACUCUGGGAUAAGCGGUGGAAACGCCGUCUAAUACCGGAUAUGACACCCCGCCUCAUGGCGGGAUGUGGAAAGUUUUUCGGUCAGGGAUGGGCUCGCGGCCUAUCAGCUUGUUGGUGGGGUAAAGGCCUACCAAGGCGAUUACGGGUAGCCGGCCUGAGAGGGCGACCGGCCACACUGGGACUGAGACACGGCCCAGACUCCUGCGGGAGGCAGCAGUGGGGAAUAUUGCGCAAUGGGCGAAAGCCUGACGCAGCGACGCCGCGUGGGGGAUGACGGCCUUCGGGUUGUAAACCUCUUUUACCACCAACGCAGGCUCCCAGUUCUCUGGGGGUUGACGGUAGGUGGGGAAUAAGGACCGGCUAACUACGUGCCAGCAGCCGCGGUAAUACGUAGGGUCCGAGCGUUGUCCGGAAUUAUUGGGCGUAAAGAGCUCGUAGGCGGCGUGUCACGUCUGCUGUGAAAGACCGGGGCUUAACUCCGGUUCUGCAGUGGAUACGGGCAUGCUAGAGGUAGGUAGGGGAGACUGGAAUUCCUGGUGUAGCGGUGAAAUGCGCAGAUAUCAGGAGGAACACCGGUGGCGAAGGCGGGUCUCUGGGCCUUACCUGACGCUGAGGAGCGAAAGCAUGGGGAGCGAACAGGAUUAGAUACCCUGGUAGUCCAUGCCGUAAACGUUGGGCGCUAGGUGUGGGGACUUUCCACGGGUUUCCGCGCCGCAGCUAACGCAUUAAGCGCCCCGCCUGGGGAGUACGUCGCAUGCUAAAACUCAAGGAUUUGACGGGGCCCGCACAGCGGCGGAGCAUGUUUGCUU